rnacentral:rRNA from 1 species
UGAGGAAUAUUGGUCAAUGGGCGAGAGCCUGAACCAGCCAAGUAGCGUGAAGGAUGACUGCCCUAUGGGUUGUAAACUUCUUUUAUAAAGGAAUAAAGUCGGGUAUGGAUACCCGUUUGCAUGUACUUUAUGAAUAAGGAUCGGCUAACUCCGUGCCAGCAGCCGCGGUAAUACGGAGGAUCCGAGCGUUAUCCGGAUUUAUUGGGUUUAAAGGGAGCGUAGAUGGAUGUUUAAGUCAGUUGUGAAAGUUUGCGGCUCAACCGUAAAAUUGCAGUUGAUACUGGCGACCUUGAGUGCAACAGAGGUAGGCGGAAUUCGUGGUGUAGCGGUGAAAUGCUUAGAUAUCACGAAGAACUCCGAUUGCGAAGGCAGCUUACUGGAUUGUAACUGACGCUGAUGCUCGAAAGUGUGGGUAUCAAACAGGAUUAGAUACCCUGGUAGUCCACACAGUAAACGAUGAAUACUCGCUGUUGGCGAUAUACGGUCAGCGGCCAAGCGAAAGCAUUAAGUAUUCCACCUGGGGAGUACGCCGGCAACGGUGAAACUCAAAGGAAUUGACGGGGGCCCGCACAAGCGGAGGAACAUGUGGUUUAAUUCGAUGAUACGCGAGGAACCUUACCCGGGCUUAAAUUGCAACUGACUGAACCGGAAACGGUUCUUUCUUCGGACAGUUGUGAAGGUGCUGCAUGGUUGUCGUCAGCUCGUGCCGUGAGGUGUCGGCUUAAGUGCCAUAACGAGCGCAACCCUUAUCGAUAGUUACUAGCAGGUCAUGCUGAGGACUCUAUUGAGACUGCCGUCGUAAGAUGUGAGGAAGGUGGGGAUGACGUCAAAUCAGCACGGCCCUUACGUCCGGGGCUACACACGUGUUACAAUGGGGGGUACAGAAGGCAGCUACACGGCGACGUGGUGCUAAUCCCGAAAGCCUCUCUCAGUUCGGAUUGGAGUCUGCAACCCGACUCCAUGAAGCUGGAUUCGCUAGUAAUCGCGCAUCAGCCACGGCGCGGUGAAUACGUUCCC